UUUAUUGGAGAGUUUGAUCCUGGCUCAGGAUGAACGCUGGCGGCGUGCCUAAUACAUGCAAGUCGAGCGAAUGGAUUAAGAGCUUGCUCUUAUGAAGUUAGCGGCGGACGGGUGAGUAACACGUGGGUAACCUGCCCAUAAGACUGGGAUAACUCCGGGAAACCGGGGCUAAUACCGGAUAACAUUUUGAAUCGCAUGGUUCGAAAUUGAAAGGUGGCUUCGGCUGUCACUUAUGGAUGGACCCGCGUCGCAUUAGCUAGUUGGUGAGGUAACGGCUCACCAAGGCAACGAUGCGUAGCCGACCUGAGAGGGUGAUCGGCCACACUGGGACUGAGACACGGCCCAGACUCCUACGGGAGGCAGCAGUAGGGAAUCUUCCGCAAUGGACGAAAGUCUGACGGAGCAACGCCGCGUGAGUGAUGAAGGCUUUCGGGUCGUAAAACUCUGUUGUUAGGGAAGAACAAGUGCUAGUUGAAUAAGCUGGCACCUUGA
rnacentral:rRNA from 1 species